rnacentral:rRNA from 1 species
UACGUAGGGCGCGAGCGUUGUCCGGAAUUAUUGGGCGUAAAGAGCUCGUAGGCGGCCUGUUGCGUCCGCUGUGAAAUCUCAGGGCUCAACCCUGGGCGUGCAGUGGAUACGGGCAGGCUGGAGGCAGGCAGGGGAGAACGGAAUUCCCGGUGUAGCGGUGAAAUGCGCAGAUAUCGGGAGGAACACCGGUGGCGAAGGCGGGUCUCUGGACAGUUCCUGACGCUGAGGCACGAAGGCCAGGGGAGCAAACGGG